AGCGGCGGACGGGUGAGUAACGCGUGGGUAACCUGCCCUAUACACACGGAUAACAUACCGAAAGGUAUGCUAAUACGAGAUAAUAUAAGAGAUUCACAUGGAUUUCUUAUCAAAGCUGAGGCGGUAUAGGAUGGACCCGCGUCUGAUUAGCUAGUUGGUAAGGUAACGGCUUACCAAGGCGACGAUCAGUAGCCGACCUGAGAGGGUGAACGGCCACACUGGGACUGAGACACGGUCCAAACUCCUACGGGAGGCAGCAGUGGGGAAUAUUGCACAAUGGGCGAAAGCCUGAUGCAGCAACGCCGCGUGAGUGAUGAAGGCCUUCGGGUCGUAAAACUCUGUCCUCAAGGAAGAUAAUGACGGUACUUGAGGAGGAAGCCCCGGCUAACUACGUGCCAGCAGCCGCGGUAAUACGUAGGGGGCUAGCGUUAUCCGGAUUUACUGGGCGUAAAGGGUGCGUAGGUGGUCUCUUAAGUCAGGAGUGAAAGGCUACGGCUUAACCGUAGUAAGCUCUUGAAACUGGGAAACUUGAGUGCAGGAGAGGAAAGUGGAAUUCCUAGUGUAGCGGUGAAAUGCGUAGAUAUUAGGAGGAACACCAGUAGCGAAGGCGGCUUUCUGGACUGUAACUGACACUGAGGCACGAAAGCGUGGGGAGCAAACAGGAUUAGAUACCCUGGUAGUCCACGCCGUAAACGAUGAGUACUAGGUGU
rnacentral:rRNA from 1 species